CAUCCCACCUCGUCCUUAUCACCCGAUCCGAUAAUCUCUUUCAUUUGGCUUUCACUUUUCCAAGUUUUCUUUUAUCCGAGACAUUGAAAACCCUAGACGUUUCUCUGCAGAAAAAUCCUUCCACCAACCAUGAUCUUACCAAAGCCUCGUAAAAGUCUUGAGUUCGAAUGGAGAAACAGGGAUUCUUCUCAUCCUCAUCAGGGUUUUCAACAACAAAAGAUGAUGACUACAAGUAUGGAGAUGGAGAUUUUGUGAAAUAAUAAGAUGAAGUUAUGGUGACAAUUUCCUAACAAGUUAUGCCGGAACCUGUAACCUGUUUUGCAAUGCCUUAGCGAUUCGAAGAGAUAGUAACGAUUGUGAGCUUUUCUGGCAAGGGCCAAUAAGAACCUCAUGCUUGAGGUGGACUUUGAGCCAUUCAGCGCUUUGUUUUCUUCCAUCUCACUUUCCAAUUCUAUUGGUAAUGGUGUGGAUCAUGUCCUUUGGUUUCUAUGUGGCGACUAAUUUCAGGAUAGUUUUUAUUCUAGUUUCAAUUUUAAAUUCCGCGAUAAGUCAAUUUAAGUCGUGCAAAAUUUUAAAUUUUGUUCACAUGUUUAAUUGUAGGCGAUGCGAUGGUGAUGGAGCUUAAAUGGAGGCUAAAUUUGUUAAACACUUACCUGUGCAUUGAUGGAAACUAAUUUAUAAAUGAUCUACAUAAUAGGACUCGAUGAUGUUUUUGUAAAGACUGUGAUUGGGGUACUUGGAGAGCUCCAAAUUGGAUGAAAUGCCCAGCGGCGGUGUCUUUUGGUUCUGGAGGAGAACUUGUUUCAUAUAAAAAUAGUCAGUCAGCUACCAAUCCACCUACUGGAGGUUCCGAGGAUACAGGGAUUAUUCAACAUUCCCUUAACGUAUUGAUUUUUGAGUAACUGAGGGGAGCUGUUGCAAGUGUUUUUGUUGAUUUUACUACGCCACCCAGCAAUGCCGAAUAUAACUGCCUCAUUAAUGUUAUACUGGAUCCAAGUGGAUGUUAUACGAUGCAAUACUUUGGAGAUGUGUCACUAGGUCAUAUGAUUAUGAGGCAUAAAACUUCUGUAAUCCUAUAGGAGAGACUACAUUAAAUGUAGAUUAAGUGGCAGUCAUAGUAGAUUGAUUUGUUCAGUGUGAUUUUGAGUUGGAAAUGCAGGAUGAAUUUAUCCUUUUUUGGUUGUAAUGUAAAACUUCAUCUUUUAAAUGCAAUGUAUACCAGAUUUCAGAUU